GUUUGAUGUUAACCUGCUGAAAAGAGGACUGUUAGCACACCUGUACUGCAAAUCUACCUGUACGGAGGAACAAACUCAGUGUAUGAAAUAUAAAUGAAAUCCCUGAUAAAUGUCUAUUGACAAAACUGUAGGUUUGAGAUGUAUAAAACACAUUGUUGAAUCAUGCAUGAAUACCGUACCAGUGUGCCGGAGACCACGUCUGUGUCCCAAAUGGCACCCUAUUUCCUAUAUAGUGCACUACUUUAGGGAAUAGGGUGCUGCACUACAUAGGGAAUAGGGUGUCAUUUGGGAUCAUGCAUGAAAACGAGCAGUAAAGGACUACAAAUCAGCCCAGUCAUGCUGGAAGGUGGCAGUGGGCAGGACACUUAGCAACAGCACACAACACAUUUCAACAUCACACUGUCCUACGCUGACGCCAUCGACCACAAACAUCUUCUGAUUCCUCCGCCCAACCACACACAACUCUACCAUCCAGACAGGAUCCUUAUAUUACAACUCUAUCACCCAGACAGGAUCGUUAUAGUACAACUCUACCAUCCAGACAGGAUCCUUAUAUUACAUCUCUACCACCCAGACAGGAUCCUUAUAGUACAACUCUACCACCCAGACUGGAUCGUUAUAUUACAACUCUACCACCCAGACAGGAUCGUUAUAGUACAACUCUACCAUCCAGACAGGAUCGUUAUAGUACAACUCUACCAUCCAGACAGGAUCGUUAUAGUACAACUCUACCAUCCAGACAGGAUCCUUAUAUUACAACUCUACCAUCCAGACAGGAUCCUUAUAUUACAACUCUACCACCCAGACAGGAUCCUUAUAUUACAACUCUACCACCCAGACUGGAUCAUUAUAUUACAACUCUACCACCCAGACAGGAUCCUUAUAUUACAACUCUACCACCCAGACAGGAUCCUUAUAUUACAACUCUACCAUCCAGACAGGAUCCUUACAGUACAACUCUACCAUCCAGACAGGAUCCUUAUAUUACAACUCUACCAUCCAGACUGGAUCAUUGUAUUACAACUCUACCACCCAGACAGGAUCCUUAUAUUACAACUCUACCACCCAGACAGGAUCGUUAUAUUACAACUCUACCACCCAGACAGGAUCGUUAUAGUACAACUCUACCAUCCAGACAGGAUCGUUAUAGUACAACUCUACCAUCCAGACAGGAUCCUUAUAUUACAACUCUACCAUCCAGACUGGAUCCUUAUAUUACAACUCUACCACCCAGACAGGAUCCUUAUAUUACAACUCUACCACCCAGACAGGAUCCUUAUAUUACAACUCUACCACCCAGACAGGAUCCUUAUAUUACAACUCUACCACCCAGACAGGAUCAUUAUAUUACAACUCUACCACCCAGACAGGAUCCUUAUAUUACAACUCUACCACCCAGACAGGAUCAUUAUAUUACAACUCUACCACCCAGACAGGAUCCUUAUAUUACAACUCUACCACCCAGACAGGAUCCUUAUAUUACAACUCUACCACCCAGACAGGAUCCUUAUAUUACAACUCUACCACCCACACAGGAUCAUGAUAUUACAACUCUACCAUCCAGACAGGAUCAUUAUAUUACAACUCUACCACCCAGACAGGAUCCUUAUAUUACAACUCUACCACCCAGACAGGAUCAUUAUAUUACAACUCUACCACCCAGACAGGAUCCUUAUAUUACAACUCUACCACCCAGACAGGAUCAUUAUAUUACAACUCUACCACCCAGACAGGAUCCUUAUAUUACAACUCUACCACCCAGACAGGAUCAUUAUAUUACAACUCUACCACCCAGACAGGAUCAUUAUAUUACAACUCUACCACCCAGACUGGAUCAUUAUAUUACAACUCUACCACCCAGACAGGAUCAUAUACAUCAGAUACUCUGUGUGGUACAGACAGACAGACAGACAGACAGACAGACAGACAGACAGACAGACAGACAGACAGACAGACAGAGACAGAGAGAAACAGACAAGACAGACAGACAGACAGACAGACAGACAGACAGACAGACAGACAGACAGACAGACAGACAGACGUAUGGUGUCCAUCAGCUUUAGCAGUACAGACUUAUGGGUAACAGGGGUCCGGGCUGAUAACCUAGGGCUGUCUUUUGCAGCAAUAGCCCUACAUUGAGGUCACAACAAAGACAACGACAGUAGUGUACACUACUUUCAGAGAGAAAUCCUAAGAAUGUGCACUACCAGAACUUUUCUAAAGAAAAGCCACAUGAAGCAGUAGAUUACAGGAGAAUAGAAUGAGGGGUGACUCUGCCUGUGUCCCAAAACGGAAAACAUAUUCCCUACAUAGUGCACUACUUUUGCAUGGGCCCUGUUCAUAUGCGGAGCCGUUUGGGGAUGCACUUCCCUCCCUCUCCUGUCGACACAUUCGACCUCAUGCUUUCUCCUCUGCCCGGGGUCGGGCCUUGAUUGACACUGUUAUGAUGUCGUAGUGUUCCGUUGCCGAGGUAACCCCCUCGGCUUCCCGCUGGGGGACGGGACUGUGCAGCAGGAGACAGCUAGGCAGAAGGUGGACCGUGCCAGAGAGUCAACCAGUUACCCCAACAAUAUACACACUGUAAAUAGAUAGCACAGCAACCAGCCAACCGGCAGGAAGGAAGAGAGAGGGAGGGAGGGAGAAAGAGAGAACGGGAGAGGGUACGGCCCAGUACAUCACCGGGGACAAGCUUCCUGCCAUCCAGGACCUCUAUACUAGGUGGUGUCAGAGGAAGGCCCUAAAACAUUGUCAAAGUCUCCAGCCACCCUAGUAAUAGACUGUUCUCUCUGCUACCGCACGGAAAGCGGUACCGGAGCGCCAAGUCUAGGUCCAAGAGGCUUCUGAACAGCUUCUACCUCCAAGCCAUAAGACUCCUGAACACCUAGUCAAGUGGCUAACCUAAACCAUUUGCAUUGGCCCCCCCCCCCACACCUCCUCUUUUAUGCCACUGCUACUCUCUGUUAUUAUCUAUGCAUAGUCACUUUAAUAACUCUACCUACAUGUACAUAUUACCUCAAUUACCUCCACACCGGUACCCCCUGUAUAUAGCCUCCACAUUGACUCAGUACCGUAACACCCUGUAUAUAGCCUCCACAUUGACUCAGUACCGUAACACCCUGUAUAUAGCCUCCACUUUGACUCAGUACCGUAACACCCUGUAUAUAGCCUCCACUUUGACUCAGUACCGGUACCCCCUGUAUAUAGCCUCCACAUUGACUCUGUACCGGUACCCCCUGUAUAUAGCCUCCACAUUGACUCAGUACCGUAACACCCUGUAUAUAGCCUCCACAUUGACUCAGUACCGUAACACCCUGUAUAUAGCCUCCACAUUGACUCUGUACCGGUACCCCCUGUAUAUAGCCUCCACAUUGACUCUGUACCGGUACCCCCUGUAUAUAGCCUCCACAUUGACUCUGUACCGGUACCCCCUGUAUAUAGCCUCCACAUUGACUCUGUACCGU
rnacentral:lncRNA from 1 species